UUUUUUUACCUAAACAUUUAAGUAUUAUUUAAGUAUGGUGUGAACAAAACGAACAUGAGUAUAGCACUAGUGCUAACAAUUGUAUUCAAGUAUGGUCUUGACAAAACGAUCAUAUGUAUAGCACUAGUGCUAACAAUUGUAUUUAAGUAUGGUGUUGACAAAACGAUCAUAAGUAUAGCACUAGUGCUAACAAUUGUAUUUAAGUAUGGUGUUGACAAAACGAUCAUAAGUAUAGCACUAGUGCUAAAAAUUGUAUUUAAGUAUGAUGUUGACAAAACGAUCAUAAGUAUAGCACUAGUGCUAAAAAUUGUAUUUAAUUAUGGUGUUGACAAAUAAAGGCAACAGUACUAGUAGUAUACCGAUGUUCAAAACUCAUAAAUCGAUAGACAAACACAAAUCCAGGUCAUAAACCAAAACCGAGGGAAAUGCAUUAAUUACAAGAAAAUGACGAUAAAAUGUAACACACACAGAAACGAACUAAGCAUUAGACAAAAUCCGAUGCGAGUAACAAAUAUAACAUCAAAACUAAAUACAUGAAUUUGGGAUAGAAAAGUACCGUGACACGUCUUAUGAUAAUGUGAAGUAACACUCAAAUAUAAGAGGAAGCAAACGACAUAAAAGAAACACAACGUUAAAAUGUAACACACACAGAAACGAACUAU
rnacentral:lncRNA from 1 species